rnacentral:rRNA from 1 species
GAUGAACGCUGGCGGCGUGCCUAACACAUGCAAGUCGAACGGAAAGACGAAGCACUUGGUUGCUUGUCGUUAGCGGGGCGGGGGUGUGAGACAUGUGUAGAACCCACCUAUAUGACGGGGAAAACCUCGGGAAACCGGAGCCUAUAACGGAUAAACUACUGAAGCGCAUGGAGGGGUAGUUACAGACGGCUUUCCUGUCGAUUAUCGCUGGUGCCGCGCCGCAUUAGCUGGUUGGUAAGGUAACGGGUUACCAAGGCAACAAUGCGUAGCCGACCUGAGAGGAUGAUCGGCCACCCUGGAACUGAGACACGGUCCAGACUCCUACGGGAGGCAGCAGUAGGGAAUCUUGCGCAAUGGGCGGAAGCCUGACGCAGCGAGGCCGCGUGUGUGAAGAAGGCCUUCGGUUCGUAAAGCUCUGUUAUGAGGGAUGAACAGAUUUGUCCUGAGCCGUGUACUUAUUGACGGUACCGGGUCAAGAAGCCCCGGCUAACUACGUG